UUGGGACCACCCGCAGAGUAGACACAACAUAACGUCAUCUGUUAGAGGCUAUGAUUCCCACCACUCCACGCGUUCUCUCUCCUAGUAUGACAUCAAAAGGCAAACCACCAAGGUAAGGAACUGCCUCCUUCACCAGAGAAAAAGCUUCCCUUGGGUUACUCAGGUGCCUUACAAACGACUGGGAUGAAUUUAUUUAUUUGUGUAUUUAUUUGUUAAAGAUUUUACUUAUUUAUUUUUGAGAGAGUGAGAGAAAGCAUGAGCAAGGGGAGAGGGUGGGGCAGAGGGAGAAGCUGACUGAGUGGGGAGCCAGCUGGGGACUUGAACCCAGGCCCCUGAGAUCAUGACUGAGCCAUAAGCAGACACUUAACUGACUGAGCCACCCAGGUGCCUGGACUUGGAUGAAUUUAGAACUGAGCUGUGUCCUAUCUUGCAGAGUUCUCUACCAUCAGAAGAAACAGCAGGUGGUGGAUCCAUCCAGCCCGUUAACAGCACACCGUAUGCCAGUCCCGUCUUGCCCCAACUACGGCUGUGUCAGACAGCUUGGCCUCUUUCACACGGGACGUUUGUGGGAUGAGUUGACAUCGUUUCAAAACACUAGGAGGCUUCUGACGGGCCAGCGUGCAGUUGUUUGA
rnacentral:lncRNA from 1 species